GGAGAGGUAGCAUAGUCUGGUCUAAUGCGCGCGCCUGGAAAGCGCGUAUGGAAACCCCAUCGCAGGUUCAAAUCCUGUCCUCUCCG
rnacentral:tRNA from 1 species